UCGUUAGUGUGUUCAACGUAGACCUCUCUAACCGUUUAAAUAUAAACCCCGACGCUCAAGUGGCUUGCUUCCAGUUGAGGCGUCGCGACGCUAGCGAAAACUUCAAUAAAAACCUUUAUUUCGAAUAUCAUCCCUAGAUUCGCAAAUAUAUUCUCGAGAAACUAUUAUAUCUUUAAUAAUAAUAUUUAAUAACAGAGAAAGAUUAAUCAAUCCCAAUAUCGUCUAUCAUUUGUUCAAAAGUUUGAUUGAUAAAACGUUCAGAGUGAGGAUCGAGUCACCAACGCUGCUUGGGUUGGGUGGUGAAAAGAAAGAGCCAAUCAAUUUUCUUAACUCGUGAUUAUAACAAAAGGAACAACUAUCAUUUGAAUGAGAACUCGAAUAACAAUUAAUUCAAAUUAAUUAAUGAAUGUGAUAAUAUCCAACAAAUGAAUACUUUCACAAAGUAUUUCUUCAUUUGAUUAAGAUAAUCCAAUCAGUGAUAAUAAAACAGUGAGAAAACUUGAAGGAUCCUAAAUCUGAGUAUGUCAUCAAGAAUCAAACAGCAAAUCCGGAUAACCAUUUUCUUCGAGAACGGCGUCGUCGUGAUUUACAUUUGAAAGGGUAGUAAGAAAAGUUAGACGAAAUAAGAUUUAAAGGAAUCAUUGGAUAAAGGGAUACAUCAGGGUUUUCGAUAAAUUCAUCCGCGGCAGUAGUAAGGAAUCAAAGGACAAGUUCGAUUGAUACGCUUUGGCCCAUUGUCGUUGGUUGUUCUUCCUCCACAACUUCUAGGUAGACCCCAUAGAUCUACGUCAAAGUUACCAUCACCCCCAACACCACCCCGUUAGCCUGACGUGUUCCUACCGUAACGAAGAAAAGUCAAACGGGAGGAGGAGAAGAAGAAGAAGAGUAUUUCCAAGUGAACAAAUCGAGGAAGAAGACGAGGAAGACGACUGCAACUCGUUCCCGCGGUAUUGGAACAAGUAAAAAGGACAAAGUGUGGGGGAACAAAGGGAGAAAGAAAAAAAGGAAAAGGAAGAAGAAGAAGAAGAAGAAGAAAAAAGUAGUAGGACCAACAAAACGAGAGGAGGAAAGUUUCUCUUUGUCCUGUUUAAACUGGAAAUAAGAAAGGUUCGAGAGAAGGAAUUGACUUAACCGGUCGUUCAACCAAAAGCAACAAAAAUAAAUCAAAUCAAAUCAAAUAAGAGAGAGAGAGAAAGAGAGGGAAGAGAGAAUUAAAAGGAAUAAGAAACCAAACCUCCCAGGAAUAAAAAGAAAACCCUGAGAGACGCGCGUAUAUCAAGUAUUGAGAAUUAACCAACCAACCAACCAACCAAGCAACCAAGCAAGCACAAGCUCUCGCAUAGAAAUUGCGAAUGAAAAAUCGAUCGGAUAUGUUGAGGGUGAACGAGUAGCAACGAAAGCAGCACCAGCACCAGCAACCAGCACCACCAGCAGCAGCAGCAGCAGCAAGGUUUCUAUGUCGCGUUGCUAAGCGCAAAGAAGAGCUUAGAGAACCCAGAAACUCGUUACUGCAUUGGGACUCCUUCUGUUUAAUUAUUAUCACUCUCUUUCUCUCUCUCCCUCUCGACUUUUUUUUCUUCUGACCUGAUCCACUUUAUUUUUACACCUAUCAUCUAUAUAUUGUUACGUAUUAUCAGUGAGAAUUUGUGUCAUUUAUUCGCAGUCAUCGGUAGUUAUUCAUUUUUCUUUGUAUCCGAUAGUAAUUAUUAAAAAAAAAAACAAAAAAAUAUUCAAAAACUUAUCCGACGAAUAAUCGAGGGUUUUCAUUUUUUUUUCUGUCAUUUGAAUAUUUGAAUUAACUGUGAAUAUUUGUUAUCGGUCUGGUAAAUUUGUUUGUUGUAAUCGAAAUCAAAUCGUUGUUAUAAGUUUAAUCAAAAUUACCAAAAUUCUCGAAAUGACGUGUUUCUUACCCCCAAAAACUACGACACCUGUGGAGGUACCAACGCCAACACAGGUAUCUCGAAAUUUUCAUACACCGAUAUUCAAACGAGUUACCGUCGUUAAUUCAGUGUCCGUUGUAUUUCUUCCGGCUCCUUUGAAGAUUAUUCCGAAAUCUUGAUAACAACAAAAA
rnacentral:lncRNA from 1 species